UCACAUCUGUUUAAUUUCUCUGCUCUCCUCCCUUGUCAGAUAUGCAAAGUGAAUCUCUUUUUCUUCUGUUCACUCUUCAAUUGCAUCAUGUCGGGCACAUAUCAAACAGAGUGAAGGGCUGGGAGCACAGUGCACUGGUAGAGUUGCUUCCAUGGGAAAUGUAAGGGCUUGGUUUAGACCCUAGCACUGUGCAUGUGCAUACUUGAACAGAGACAGACAACAGAGAGGGGGAGUUGGGUGGGGGAGAGAAUUAGUAAAUAAGACUAGAUUGGGGAAAGAUAAGAUGGACUGAGUCUGCUGUAGUGACCAUUGAGAGUCCUGCGGGGUUCCUUGAUACUGCAUUACUUUGCCUUUAAAAUUAUCUAUUUGCCCCCGAGGUCAGAUAUUCAACCCGUUUUCUUUCAGAAUUCAGUAUUGUACACAAGAAAUAAUUAUCUUCCGUGAAGACUUAGUGAAUAAAAUGUGUAGAAACUGUGUCCGCUUUCCUAGCAGCAGUUUGGAUAUUCCUACCCAUUUCGUAAAGACUGUCUUAUCUCAGGGACAUCUGGCUCCUCUCCCUCUUUACGUGUCCCCCGUCUACUGGGCAUAUGACUACACUUUGAGAGUGUACCCAGUGCCCGAUCUGCUGGUCAUUGCAGACAAGUACGAUCCGUUCACCGUGACCAACACCGAGUGCCUCUGCAUAAACCCUGUAAGGAUGUUGUGGGCGGUCAAGAGGAUAAGUUUUCUUUCUUUUCUCUAAUUUUAAAAGUUGUCUCCUUUGGGGGCCUGUGUAUCAAGUGAGAAUCAGUUCUCUCCCUUCCACCAUGUGCGUCCCAAAGAUGGCUCAGCAUUAAGUUCCUUAUGGAUUAAACCUCUUUGACCCUGUAGCACAUUCCCAUGACUUCAUAGAGAUUAAAGUCAUUGUUUCAAUC
rnacentral:lncRNA from 1 species